rnacentral:rRNA from 1 species
UACGUAGGGGCGAGCGUUAUCCGGAAUUAUUGGGCGUAAAGGGUUCGCAGGCGGCCUUGUAAGUCAGAUGUGAAAGACAGCGGCUUAACCGUUGUAAGCAUUUGAAACUGCAGGGCUUGAGUACAGGAGAGGAAAGCGGAAUUCCUAGUGUAGCGGUGAAAUGCGUAGAUAUUAGGAGGAACACCAGUAGCGAAGGCGGCUCUCUGGACUGUAACUGACGCUGAGGCACGAAAGCGUGGGGAGCAAACAGGAUUAGAUACCCUGGUAGU